rnacentral:rRNA from 1 species
AAACUAACAAGGAUUCCCCUAGUAACGGCGAGUGAAGCGGGAAGAGCUCAAAUUUGUAAUCUGGCACUUUCAGUGUCCGAGUUGUAAUCUCGAGAAGUGUUUUCCGCGCUAGACUGCAUACAAGUCUGUUGGAAUACAGCGUCAUAGUGGUGAGAACCCCGUACGUGAUGCAGAUGCCUAGUGCUUUGUGAUACACUUUCGAAGAGUCGAGUUGUUUGGGAAUGCAGCUCAAAUUGGGUGGUAAAUUCCAUCUAAAGCUAAAUAUUGGCGAGAGACCGAUAGCGAACAAGUACCGUGAGGGAAAGAUGAAAAGCACUUUGGAAAGAGAGUUAACAGUACGUGAAAUUGUUGGAAGGGAAACGCUUGAAGUCAGACUUGCUAUUUGGGAUUUAUCUCAUUUUGCAGGCCAGCAUCAGUUUUCGGGGGCAAAAAAGGGUUUGAGGAAGGUAGCAACUCCGGUUGUGUUAUAGCCUCUUGCUGGAUUUGUCUUUGGGGACUGAGGAACGCAGCGCACUUUUUGCAAGGCUUUCGAGCUUAUUGCGCUUAGGAUGCUGGUGGAAUGGCUUUAAACGAC